rnacentral:tRNA from 1 species
AUUCAUAUAGCUUAUAUAAGAGUUUAAUAUUGAAGAUAUUGAGGAUAAAUAGAUUUUAUUUGAAUA